CGUUUAUAUUUAUUUUUACAUUGGACAAGAAUUGUUGAAUCAAAGUAAUUACGUUUUUGAAGAAUUGUGUCAAGUACCGUUUUACAUGUUAUCGAUAAAAACGCAAAAGUUAUUUUUAUUUUUAAUAACCAGAAGCAUGCAACCGAGUUUUCUUUCGAUCGGUGGUUUGUUCGUAUCAUCCCUCGAAGUUUUGUCAGCGUUAAUGCAAAAAACAUUUUCAUUUGCAACUGUUUUUCACAGUUUCAAAUCAUGAAAUCAAGUAAUAACGAAAAUGAAAUAUAC